rnacentral:rRNA from 1 species
UCGAGGAUCUUCGGCAAUGAGCGCAAGCUUGACCGAGCGACGCCGCGUGCGCGAUGAAGGCCUCCGGGUUGUAAAGCGCUUUAGGGGGGGAGAAAAGCCGAAAGGUGUGAUCUAUCCCCAAAAUAAGCACGGGCUAAGUUCGUGCCAGCAGCCGCGGUAAGACGAACCGUGCGAACGUUGUUCGGAAUCACUGGGCUUAAAGGGCGCGUAGGCGGGCUGUCAAGUCUGGGGUGAAAUGCUGCGGCUCAACCGUAGAACUGCCUUAGAUACUGACGGCCUCGAGGAAGGUAGGGGCAUGCGGAACUGUAGGUGGAGCGGUGAAAUGCGUUGAUAUCUACAGGAACUCCGGUGGCGAAAGCGGCGUGCUGGACCUUUUCUGACGCUGAGGCGCGAAAGCUAGGGGAGCAAACGG